GACGAACGCUGGCGGCGUGCCUAAUACAUGCAAGUAGAACGCACAGUUUAUACCGUAGCUUGCUACACCAUAGACUGUGAGUUGCGAACGGGUGAGUAACGCGUAGGUAACCUGCCUGGUAGCGGGGGAUAACUAUUGGAAACGAUAGCUAAUACCGCAUAAUAUUAAUUAUUGCAUGAUAAUUAAUUGAAAGGUGCAAUUGCACCACUACCAGAUGGACCUGCGUUGUAUUAGCUAGUAGGUGAGGUAACGGCUCACCUAGGCGACGAUACAUAGCCGACCUGAGAGGGUGAUCGGCCACACUGGGACUGAGACACGGCCCAGACUCCUACGGGAGGCAGCAGUAGGGAAUCUUCGGCAAUGGACGAAAGUCUGACCGAGCAACGCCGCGUGAGUGAAGAAGGGUUUCGGAUCGUAAAGCUCUGUUGUAAGAGAAGAACGGGUGCGAGAGUGGAAAGUUCACACUGUGACGGUAUCUUACCAGAAAGGGACGGCUAACUACGUG
rnacentral:rRNA from 1 species